GUCAGUGUGGCCGAGUGGUUAAGGCGUCAGACUCGAAAUCUGAUACAUUCGUGUGCACAGGUUCGAAUCCUGUCGCUGACG
rfam:Aspergillus aculeatus ATCC 16872 unplaced genomic scaffold ASPACscaffold_2, whole genome shotgun sequence.